GAUGAAGAACGCAGCGAAAUGCGAUAAGUAAUGUGAAUUGCAGAAUUCAGUGAAUCAUCGAAUCUUUGAACGCACAUUGCGCCCGCCAGUAUUCUGGCGGGCAUGUCUGUUCGAGCGUCAUUUCAACCCUCAAGCCCAGCUUGGUGUUGGGGAUCGGCACAGGCGCCCUCGGGCGCCCGCCGUCCCCUAAAUCUAGUGGCGGUCCCGCUGCAGCCUCCUCUGCGUAGUAGUUUUCUCCUCGCAAGGGCAGCUCGGUGGCGACCUCGCCGUAAAACCCCCAACUUCUGAAAGGUUGACCUCGAAUCAGGUAGGAAUACCCGCUGAACUUAAGCAUAUCAAUAAGCGGAGGA
rnacentral:misc_RNA from 1 species